rnacentral:rRNA from 1 species
GUGGGGAAUAUUGGACAAUGGGGGGAACCCUGAUCCAGCCAUGCCGCGUGUGUGAAGAAGGCCUUUUGGUUGUAAAGCACUUUAAGCGAGGAGGAGGCUACCGAGAUUAAUACUCUUGGAUAGUGGACGUUACUCGCAGAAUAAGCACCGGCUAACUCUGUGCCAGCAGCCGCGGUAAUACAGAGGGUGCAAGCGUUAAUCGGAUUUACUGGGCGUAAAGCGCGCGUAGGUGGCCAAUUAAGUCAAAUGUGAAAUCCCCGAGCUUAACUUGGGAAUUGCAUUCGAUACUGGUUGGCUAGAGUAUGGUAGAGGAUGGUAGAAUUCCAGGUGUAGCGGUGAAAUGCGUAGAGAUCUGGAGGAAUACCGAUGGCGAAGGCAGCCAUCUGGCCUAAUACUGACACUGAGGUGCGAAAGCAUGGGGAGCAAACAGGAUUAGAAACCCCAGUAGUCC